GAUGAACGCUGGCGGCGUGCCUAAUACAUGCAAGUCGAGCGAACAGACGAGGAGCUUGCUCCGCUGACGUUAGCGGCGGACGGGUGAGUAACACAUGGAUAACCUACCUAUAAGACAAGGAUAACUUCCGGAUACCAAAGCUCAUACCGGACAAUAUAUUAAACCUCAUGUUUAAAUAUUCAAAGACGGUAUUUCUGCCUCUAAUUGAUGAACCCGCGCCGCAUUAACUAGUCGGUAAGGUAACGGCUUACCAAGGCGACUAUGAGUAGCCGACCUGAGAGGGUGAUCGGCCGCACGGGAGCUGAGACGAGGUCCAGACUCCUAAGGGAGGCAGCAGUAGGGAAUCUUCCGCAAUGGGCGAAAGCCUAACGGAGCAACGCCGCGUGAGUGAUGAAGGUCUUCGGAUCGUAAAACUCUGUUAUUAGGGAAGAACAAAUGUGUAAGUAACUAUGCGCGUCUUGACGGUACCUAAUCAGAAAGCCACGGCUAACUACGUG
rnacentral:rRNA from 1 species